GCGUAGGUGAUGGACAACAGGUUGAUAUUCCUGUACUACCGAUAACCGUUUGAGAGAAGGGAUGACACAGUAGGAUAAGCUAAGCACACUGUUGGUUAUGUGUGCCCAAGCAUUGAGGCAGUCAAAGUAGGCAAAUCCGCUUUGAUAAUGCUGGGAUGUGAUGGGGAGCGAAAUUUAGUAGCGAAGUAGCUGAUUUCACACUGUCAAGAAAAGUCUCUAUCGAGGUUAAAGGUACCCGUACCGCAAACCGACACAGGUGGGUGAGGAGAGUAUCCUAAGGCCAGCGAGAGAACUGUUGUUAAGGAACUCGGCAAAAUGACCCCGUAACUUAGGGAUAAGGGGUGCCACCAUCAGGUGGCCGCAGAGAAUAGGCCCAAGCGACUGUUUACCAAAAACAUAGGUUUCUGCUAAGUCGCAAGACGAUGUAUAGGAGCUGACGCCUGCCCGGGGCUGGAAGGUUAAGGGGAUCUGUUAGAGCAAUCGAAGCAGUGAACUUAAGCCCCAGUAAACGGCGGCCGGAACUAUAACGGUCCUAAGGUAGCGAAAUUCCUUGUCGGGUAAGUUCCGACCCGCACG
rnacentral:rRNA from 1 species